CUUCUCCUUCAAUAAGGUUUUAUAAUUGGGCCGAAAUAAAAAGAAAGAUCCCAAGCCCAAUAAAUUAAAAUUCAGCCCUAUGUAAUUCUUGUUUUGUGAUUGUUG